GUGUUCGGCUCUGAGAGCGUCUGUGGGAUUUCGGGCGGAAAUGGGGGGGUAUCAUGUCGGCUAGCUGGUGCGGAGUCUUCUUUAAGAGACCAAGUACCUUGUCCUAGGAGCUCAAGUGGUGUAGCAGUUAAAAUUUUUAAUACUUAAGUACGUACGUAUUUCUUUAAGGAACUCCAUUUUUCCUCAGGCUAGGUAGGGGUUGAAGUUACUGCAUCUCUUUGCCCUUCGCGGUGGCCGGGCUAUUAUUAGCAGCGUGACUAAACCUGGUUGAAUUUCAGAUGCAUCUCCAGAAGCUGGCUGUCUGCAGCCUGCUGGGCUGGGAUCUGCUGAAUGGAGCUUGGGAACUGGGUCACAGCGAAUGCCUCCCGAGGCCUUCCGCACAAGUUCUGGUGUGCCAAGCUGCCUCCGUGAAUUUAUUGAAUGGGAGGAUAUAAUUUUUCCCCAGCUUUAACCUGGAAUUGCAGUAAUUAGGCUUAAAAUUAGAUAACCACCAUUUAUGAGUAAGGUAAACCCUGGAGUUUUAGCAGCAUGUUGUAUUUGGUUAAGGGGGGCCUCUGUGAGAAAGGACCAGGGACUCCUGUGAGAGGCAAAGCUAGCCCCAGGCAGCAGUCAGACCUCCUGCUGGCCAAUGUGGAGCCCAUUGGCAGCAUUGAUGGUGCCUCUGUAAUAUAUUUAGAAAGAGAAAGGUAAGUGCAUAAAGGUGAGAGGGCGACCCUCCCAGGGUCACUGAAGAAGGAGGAGCUCCAGGCCUGAGGCCCAGGAGAGGCUGUGGAUGAGAAGGCUGUCUCCUGCUGCCUCCAGGCACUGCACAGGGCACAUCUCCACGUGAGUUAUGAAGGAGCCCACAGGGCAGCAGUGACUGAGGCAUAAAGGAAAUACAGUCCAUGCAGAGCCCUGCAGGAGACCCUGGGGCAGAGCUGCAGCCCGUGGGGACCCACGUUGGAGCCGUCCAUCAUGAUGUGAAAAGGACUCAUGCUGAACCAGUUUAUAAAAGAGCCACAUGCUUGAGUGGAGGAGGAGUGCAAGGAAAGGGUGGCAGAGAUAACAUGUUAUGAACUGACUUCCACUCACAGUAGCCAUCCUCCUUGCAAUGCUUAGAUCUCUCCACUACACAAAAUAUUGGUGAAUCUUGACAGCAGUCAGCUAGCUUUGAAGGUCUACUGAAAAAAAACUGCUUACUGUUGAUGAAAUGCAAAACUGGAUGAGUUUUAGCAGCCAGAUUCCUGAUUCAAGUUGUGCCUAGAGGCUGCAGCUUUCUUUGUGCAGACUGGGGAUCACAGGAGUAUAGCUUUCUGUUGAGUGCUGCAUUAAUGCUACUCAAGUUCUACAGAAGUGACUCAACAUCCCACAGGCCUGCCAGGAUGACAAGUCACUUGCAGGAUUCAGUGCUGGCUUUGUUACAGAACAGCCGCUGACGACCUUCUCAAUCCCAUCCUGGACUUCAGACUCAUGAAAGUUCUUGUCAGACAACACAAGGCAUCACAAAUAAAGCAGAGUUUUCAAUUAAAGCCAGUGGACUGAUUCAAGAAAUUACUGUUGAUGGGAAUGUUUAAUUUCAGCAAGAGAAUACCAUCUUGCCUUUGGGACUGAGAAGCAAAGUACAUCAUUGUUGUUUCCAGUUGGCCAAGAUUUACUUUAUUUCAGAUAGUGUGUUAGCAUUAAGCCCAGAUAUAUUUCCUACAAUUACAGGCUUUUUGGUAAGUGCAUAGGUUGUCACUUGAAUUGAUAGCUGUAUGGAAAAUAAAUAAACUCUAAACAUAGCUCAGAUGUAGAAUUGUGCUAUAUGCUUUGCUAAUUGAUGAGCACUUGCAUACAUCCUGCAUUAUGGGAUCCUGUGUUGUUUUUAAAAUCAGUGUAUAUUUGUUAAAAUGUCUUCCGUUUAUCUGAUUCCUAAUGCUUACUAUGAUGAAAAAAAUUAAUCUUCAUUUGCAACAGGAAUUUUAUUGUUGUCUUUAAAUGGUCUGAAUCUAAUCUGUAAGUACUUU
ensembl:lncRNA